GGGGGCUUCUCCCAGAGGCAGGGCUCACCUCACUGGGUGUGGAAACCCUGCCUCUCUGUGUCCCAUCUCCCAAACACAUUCUCUCCCGCCUCCCCCAACCUCCUUUACCACCAACAGCUGCAGAAUUUCAGCCCAGAGCAUAAAAGACAGGUGAUUGUCUUUGCCUUUGUUCUUUUAAGAAGAAAAACAAUGAGGAGACAAACCCUAGGAAAUCAAGUGAGGGAAAAAUCCAAUCCUGCUUUCUGAGGAAAUGUUAAAUCAGCGAACUGAAAUGCCGACAUGAAAGCAGGAAGGCCGGUGGAACCUGUCACACCCGGGCCAGCAGAUCUAGGUAAGAGGAGCUGAGGCUUGCCACUAUCUAAACUGCUGUCUCCAAAUUCAUCCUGCCUGCGUCCUGGAUGCUGCAGUGUGAACACAAGAUCAUGCCUCUGGCUCACCCUACUAUCCUGCUUGAGAUUUCCGGACCUGCCCAUUUGCUGCAUAGUUAGAUGUGGCACACACGAGGCCACAAGGAUUAGGAAUGGAGGAUUGUGGUCAUUUAUGGUGGCAGAUCUGGCCUCUACUUAGCCAGACAUCUGUGAAGGGGUUUGGGGCCUGAAGUCCCCAGGGAAUGGAAGGUGAGACUGGCCCCUUAUACCAGACCUGACCAGCAAACAAUUUCACACUCAAUUCCUUGGUGAACUCACCCUCCUCCACCAGCCUCUCACACUUCCCCAGAUGUGGGGAAAAGCAAGAGAGAUCAGAUUGUUACUGUGUC
rnacentral:lncRNA from 1 species